GACGAACGCUGGCGGCGUGCUUAAUACAUGCAAGUCGAACGGACAGGCCCUGCUCUUGCGGGGCGCUCGAGUGGCGAACGGGUGAGUAACACGCGAGUAACCUGUCCCUGUCUUUGUGAUAUCACUUGGAGACAGGGGCGCAUACCCGAUAGGAGCUCCUGCUGCAUGUUGGGGGUUGGUAAGAUUCGGCGGUUGGGUAUGGUAUCGCAGGUUAUCAGCUUCAUGGUGGAGUAGUGGCUUUCCAGGGUUGUGACGGGUAGCCGGCGUGGGAGGGUGACCGGCCACAAGGGGACUAAGAGACGGACCAGACGCCUACGGGAGGCAACAGUGGAGAGUAUUGCGGAGUGGGCGGGAGCCAGAUGCGACGGCGCCGCGUGCGGGAUAACGGCCUUCGAGUUAUGAACCAAUUUGUACGUUAACAAAGCGUGAGUGACGGUAAUGGGUAAGAAAGCACCGGCUAACUACGUG
rnacentral:rRNA from 1 species